GGUAGCAUGGCCGAGCGGUCUAAGGCGCUUGUUUAAGGCACCAGUCAUUUCGAUGGCGUGGGUUCGAAUCCCACUGCUGCCA
rfam:Ciona savignyi cont_32817, whole genome shotgun sequence.